GCCUGGAUAGCUCAGUUGGUUAGAGCAUGGUGCUGAUAACGUCAAGGUUGAAAGUUCAAUCCCUGUAUGGGACA
rnacentral:tRNA from 1 species